GUGCCAGCAGCCGCGGUAAUACGAAGGGGGCUAGCGUUGCUCGGAAUCACUGGGCGUAAAGGGCGCGUAGGCGGCCGAUUAAGUCGGGGGUGAAAGCCUGUGGCUCAACCACAGAAUUGCCUUCGAUACUGGUUGGCUUGAGACUGGAAGAGGACAGCGGAACUGCGAGUGUAGAGGUGAAAUUCGUAGAUAUUCGCAAGACACCAGUGGCGAAAGCGGCUGUCUGGUCCGGUUCUGACGCUGAGGCGCGAAAGCGUNGGGAGCAAACAGGAUUAGAUACNCUGGUAGUCC
rnacentral:rRNA from 1 species